UCGGUUCACUGAAGAAUCUAUGUUGCUAGCAGAGGUUGUUACAAAGUGUCUGGACACAAUAAAACCAUUUGUAUGAUUUAAAAAGAGUAACUAUUGUGCUUUCAUUCUAUGUACUUGGGCUUUUAAUAAUCUUUCUCACAGUCACAUCAGCAUGCAUGGGUGGGUCUCAUGUAUGGAUUCAGGCUGGUUUGGCUGGGACCCAUGCAAGAUUAUUAUUGUCGUUUUUUUCAAUAAAACUGCAUUGAAUCGUUUAGCUUUGGGCUAUAUAGGUAAUGAUAAGAGGGCAUGGGUUUUAUCUGGGCCAACUGCGUGAGGCUCAUAAGGUUAACCGAAAUGGGACUCAUAUUGUUGGCUCAAUUGGGUUAAAUGUAUGGGCCCAAUUCAGCAUUAACGUGGGCUAACUGGGCAUGGGACAGAAAUGGGAACACUAUAUGGGGCCCAUGUGGUUUCAGUAUAUUGGGCCUAAAAGGUUUUUUGUAAAUAGGAUGAAGGCAUUGUAGUUCAUAUUUUUAAAUUCUUUUUUUAAUUGUUGUGUGACACUUUAAAGCGUUUUGUUAUGUCAUAGUUUAUUUCAAUCUGCCGCUAUUGUGUUGGUCUAGAGUAGUCAUCAGUGUCAGGGUUCCUGUGUGUGUAUGUGAGUGUCGCAUCUUAUUUCAGCGAGGAUCUUUGUGAGGAGCCCGUGGAGCUUGGCACAGGUGGAGGAGCAGCAGAAUCUUCAGUCUACGCUAGAUUGACUGAAGAUUCUACUGGUGUAUGCUAGAUGGUUGCAUACACCGGUAGUCACUCUGGCCUCUCCUGUUGUGAACAGUUUUCUGAGAACGUUUCUGUGUCUACUAGAAGUCACCUGGUCUCUGUGUUUGUUCGAUCCUAGGGGUUUUGUCGCCUCAUUCGAGAACUCACCAGUGAAUACCUGCCUGCUCGCUCCGCCGAUUCCACUGCCUCCACUCCACCCUUCGAGCUUCCAGCUCUCUUCCAUUCCCACCUCGCAUUUACCUUCAGAACCGCUGCACACCCUCUCUCAGGAACCUGGCAUCUCACACCCACGCCUCGAAAGACCCGCACCGAAGUAAGCCUGUUCCUGUUUCCCCUCCGAUCACUCAUUCUAAGCCCGUCAUAACUAAGUUCUCGUUUCAGGCCAACCUGGUCGAGUGGUCCUCACCCUUCCGCUGAUGUCCGGGAAAUAGAUUUUAUUUUGUCCUGUUGUAAAUAAAUCACUCACUCAUCCCUAUCCAACGUGUGGUUACUGCAUGUGGGUCCGUAAAUUGAAACCCAUCAUGUCAAUCAGUGGCCAAGCCUGAAACAAAUAUUGAAAGAUGAAGAAAUUCUUUUUGAUAUUUUUGCAAUAUUUAGCUAGCAGUUAUGUGAAAUGUACUUAUAUUUAAUUGUAGCUCUAAUUUUUUUAUAUGUGCAAUGUUUUAGGCUUUAUUAGUUACAUUUAUAGUGAUUUUCUAAACUUCUCUUAAGAGUAAUACUACUGUCUUAGUCCUGUCACGUUAACAAAGAAAUUAGGAUAAUUGCAAAACUGUUCAGUGUUUACAAUAUAAGGCUUCAGUAGUUAAUCUAUACAAAGGCUGUUUUGCCUUAAUUUUUUUAUUUUUUUGAAAAGUCUAAAUGUUAUAUUGCACUAAUAAAAUAUAUAUUUUUGCAGGCUUCAAGAGGAUCAGCGUGUGAAGAUCACUUUAUAAUGAUUUGAAAAAGGUUGCCAUGGCUACAGAAAUUGGAGGAGCAUCCUUAGAUGACACAAUACAACCAGCUGUGCGAUUCCUCAUGUCCCAUGAACUGGAAGUCCAGUUCAACCUUUUUGGCCAACAUUGGAAACAAGCUCUUGGACCUGCGUCUCUUUGAUGUUUUGUAUGGGGACUUAAAAGAAAUUAUCCAUCUACAGAAUCACACAAGCAUACAGCAAAGACUCUCGAAGUGGUUUACUGGAGCCCGAGUGGAAGUGGAAAUAGACUAGAGAGACUGCCAGUUCAAACUCAGGUUGGGGAGGUCUUUCAAGAUGGACAGUUUCAGUAAAGUAUGAGAGAUUUCAAAUUUAAGC